rnacentral:rRNA from 1 species
UGGGGAAUAUUGCACAAUGGGCGCAAGCCUGAUGCAGCCAUGCCGCGUGUAUGAAGAAGGCCUUCGGGUUGUAAAGUACUUUCAGCGAGGAGGAAGGCGGUAAGGUUAAUAACCUUAUCGAUUGACGUUACUCGCAGAAGAAGCACCGGCUAACUCCGUGCCAGCAGCCGCGGUAAUACGGAGGGUGCAAGCGUUAAUCGGAAUUACUGGGCGUAAAGCGCACGCAGGCGGGCUGGCAAGUCGGAUGUGAAAUCCCCGGGCUCAACCUGGGAACUGCAUUCGAAACUGGCAGGCUAGAGUCUUGUAGAGGGGGGUAGAAUUCCAGGUGUAGCGGUGAAAUGCGUAGAGAUCUGGAGGAAUACCGGUGGCGAAGGCGGCCCCCUGGACAAAGACUGACGCUCAGGUGCGAAAGCGUGGGGAGCAAACA